UAUAUCCGGGCAAUGCCCGAUAUUUACC
rnacentral:sRNA from 1 species